AGCGAACGCUGGCGGCAGGCCUAACACAUGCAAGUCGAACGAUCCUUCGGGAUAGUGGCGGACGGGUGAGUAACACGUGGGAACGUGCCCUUUGGUUCGGAACAACUCAGGGAAACUUGAGCUAAUACCGAAUGUGCCCUUCGGGGGAAAGAUUUAUCGCCAUUGGAGCGGCCCGCGUCUGAUUAGCUAGUUGGUGAGGUAAUGGCUCACCAAGGCGACGACCAGUAGCUGGUCUGAGAGGAUGAUCAGCCACACUGGGACUGAGACACGGCCCAGACUCCUACGGGAGGCAGCAGUGGGGAAUCUUGCGCAAUGGGCGAAAGCCUGACGCAGCCAUGCCGCGUGAAUGAUGAAGGUCUUAGGAUUGUAAAAUUCUUUCACCGGGGACGAUAAUGACGGUACCCGGAGAAGAAGCUCCGGCUAACUUCGUGCCAGCCGCCGCGGUAACAC
rnacentral:rRNA from 1 species